CCUACGGGCGGCAGCAGUGGGGGAUAUUGGGCAAUGGGCGCAAGCCUGACCCAGCGACGCCGCGUGAAGGAAGAAGGCUUUCGGGUUGUAAACUUCUUUUCGCAGGGACGAAGCAAGUGACGGUACCUGAGGAAUAAGCCACGGCUAACGACGUGCCAGCAGCCGCGGUAAUACGUAGGCGGCAAGCGUUAUCCGGAUUUACUGGGUGUAAAGGGCGUGCAGGCGGUACUGCAAGUCAGAUGUGAAAGCCACGGGCUCAACCUGUGGCCUGCAUUUGAAACUGUAGUUCUUGAGUACUGGAGAGGCAGACGGAAUUCCUAGUGUAGCGGUGAAAUGCGUAGAUAUUAGGAGGAACACCAGUGGCGAAGGCGGUCUGCUGGACAGCAACUGACGCUGAGGCGCGAAAGCGUGGGGAGCAAACAGGAUUAGAUACCCUUGUAGUC
rnacentral:rRNA from 1 species